UUUUCAUCCCCGGCGACAAACUGUAUUUUUUUCUGUGACAUUUUCUUUUGCAAUGUCUCAGAAUAAAAUACAGUUUGUCGCCGGGGAUGAAAACCAAAAGGAAAUACAGUUCUAUGUUGCCGGAGUUGCAGUAAACAUGUAUUGAAAGGAAUGAAAAUUUGAGAAUAUGAGAAAUUGAAGGUAAAAAAUGUUCAUAUAAAUGAAGAAGGGAUUGCAGCUUUCUUUGUUCUCAAAUCAUAAAUACUUGGCCAACCAAGGUAGAUCCUUGUUGCCUUUCAGUGCAAAGGCCACAUCAUCGCUUGGAAAAUUGAGCUGCAACUUCUGCAACCUGUGCC
rnacentral:misc_RNA from 1 species